CCACGACCCACAUGGACACACAGUGAGAUUCCCACAAAGAGGCAAAAGGAGAGCCCUGGUCACUGAGACAAAAGAUACAGAGACACCGGGACACAGAGAGGUACAACGGGACGUGGAGUUGGAUCGAGCUGUCUCGACCAAACGACGGUGCCAUGGGAGGCUCUUCAACCUGUGAGCCAAACAUUUGACCUUGGACGACAGCAAAGUUUAGCCACAGAUUAUCCUUGUAGAGCUGCAAGACCUCAAGAAAGCCGGGUAACUCGAGAGUAUGACCCAGAUGAAUUCGGGAGAUGGAUGAAUGCUGUCGUCGAUGGGGGCGGGCUUUAGGCAUCUCACAUGUUGCAUGCUACGGUGGACCUCUGAGCUUUUUGCUGCCCCCUUAGAUUGGGAAAGGAAUAUAAGAGGAAAGAGAGACUGCCUGAUGAUUUCUGUCGUCAAGCCCUAAAGCCUAACAGAUAACAGUGGCAAACGACACGUGGGUUCCAGAAUACCAGUGAUGUUCAUGUGCAUUUCUGAGCUAGUCAAGUGAAGCAGUGGGAGUGGAAAAGGAGCAAAGAAAUCUGUAACUGGUUGUGAUUCCAUGAACUUUUUGAAAUCCCCUUGUAUUGGCUUCCUUCCCUCUUCUGUCUUACUUCUCUACUCCCUACAAGUGUUUUCUGGGAUCACCUCCAAAUAAACUACUUGCAAUCUAAUCCUGUCUCAAGUCUGCUGCUGUGGGAACCCAAACUAAGACACCUGCAAAAAAUAUCCUUCCAAUUACUGAAAAAUAUGUUCACUUGCACCCAUAAAAGUGUUUGCUAAUACCGUAGACCCUUGGCUGUACAAUAUGGUAGCAGUAUCCACAUGAGCAUUUUGGGACUUGAAAUGUGGCUGGUCCCAGUUGAGAUGUUCUGGAAGUAUAAAACACACUGACUUCAAAGACAGUGUCAAGAAAAAUGUGUUUAACGUCUCAUGAAUGAUUUUUUUUACAUGGAUUACAUGUUAAAAUGAUAAUAUUUGGACACAUUAGUUAAAAACAGAAAGUCAGCCCCCCAACAUUUCCAGGUAGAGAACCUAUCAAAGGAGACUGAAGUGAGAAGAAAAAUAGAGUCACAGAAGUGAAGAAAAUGUUUCAAGAAAGGAAAGCUGGAGCCCAUGCUUCUGAGAGGCUGGGAAAUUGAGGACAGAAGAGCAGCCACUGUAUUUAACAACGUGGGGACCUUUGGUGAAUUGAUCAAAUCAGUAUUUUAAAGAGAGGGAGACAGACCCUAAUUAAAAUAUAUUGAGGAGAGAAUGGAAUGUGAAGAUGUAAAGACAGAGGUUAUACACAACUUCUCUGAGAAAUGUUGCUGUGAGGAGAGAGAGAAAAUAUGUAAUUGUAGGAGAGAAAUCCUUGGGAAAGCAGUCCUCCACACCGUGGACUAUUCCAUAGCCAAUUUUAACAACAUAGGUGAUAGGGUUUGGCUCUGUGUCUCCAACCAAAUCUCAUCUCGAAUUGUGAUUGCCACAAUCCCCACAUGUUGAGGGAGAAACCCGAUGGGAGGUGAUUGGAUCGUGGAGGCAGUUGUUACCAUGAUAGUGAGUAUUUUAUAAAGGGCUCUUCCCCCUUCACUCCUUGCUCCCCUCUCUCCUGCCACAAUGUGAAGAAGGUCCUUUUUUCCCCACCUUCUGCCAUGACUGUAAGUUUCCUGAGGCCCCCUCAGCCAUGUGGAACUGUGAGUCAAUUAAAGCAUUUUCCUUUAUAAAUUACCCAGUCUCGGGUAUUUCUUUACAGCAGUGUGAGAAUGAACUAAUAUGAUGGGUGUAGUAGAUGUUGUCAGUGCCUGACCAGAACCCCCAGGCCCUUACCAUUUCACACUAGCCUGACUUCCGGCAUCUCUGCCUCAAAUCCUUCUGCUCCACCAGAGUUGGUUUAGCCCAAGUACAAGGCAGGCCAGGGAGUUAGUGUCUCCCUCUGCCCUCCUCCAGCAACAAUCAACUAAUAGAUAGACAAGAGCUGGUGUAUAAAUAACGGCACUCACUCACUCACUCCUCAGGUAACUGAGGUUUGCGUUUAUACUGUCUCCUAAAUUUCCUCAGCAGGAUUACUCUCCAGUAGCCCAGACUGGGACAUGUCUGAUGAUAUACCCUUUAUUGGCUUCAUUCCCUCCCCUGUCUCACUUCCCCA
rnacentral:lncRNA from 10 species